AUGGCCCCUAGAGGCAUCACAGGUGUGGCUGCUGUGUCCCAUGUGCCUCAGUAGGUAGCAGAGAGGAGAGAGGCCAUGUGUAAGCUCAGUGUUGUGACCUGUGAACAUCUGAGUGAUUUGUAGCCUAACAAU
ensembl:snoRNA